rnacentral:rRNA from 1 species
UACAGUUUAUUUGAUGGUCAUUCUCUACAUGGAUAACUGUGGUAAUUCAAGAGCUAAUACAUGCGCCAAAAUCCGACUUCUCGGAAGGGUUGUGUUUAUUAGAUUCAGAACCAACCCAGGCUCUUGCCUGGUGCUUUGGUGAUUCAUGAUAACCGAACGAAUCGCAUGGCGUAAGCCGGCGAUGAAUCAUUCAAGUUUCUGACCUAUCAGCUUCCGACGGUAGGGUAUUGGCCUACCGUGGCAAUGACGGGUAACGGAGAAUUAGGGUUCGAUUCCGGAGAGGGAGCCUGAGAAACGGCUACCACA